rnacentral:rRNA from 1 species
UACAGAGACUGCAAGCGUUGUUCGGAUUCAUUGGGCGUAAAGGGUGCGCAGGCGGCUCGUUAAGUCGGAUGUGAAAUCUCCCAGCCUAACUGUGAUAGGUCAUUCGAAACUGGCGGGCUUGAGGGCUGGAGAGGAGGCUGGAAUAGUCGGUGUAGCGGUGAAAUGCGUAGAGAUCGACUAGAACACCGGUGGCGAAGGCGGGUCUCUGGACAGUUCCUAACGCUCAUGCACGAAAGCCAGGGGAGCAAACGGG